rnacentral:misc_RNA from 1 species
AACGCACGAGACCUGCGGACCUGCGGAAGGAUCAUUGAAGAAUAUGAUAUGAUAUGGUGGUGGUGUGGUGACAACCAACCAACCAACCAACCAACCAAUUAUUUACGUGCCAAUAGUAGUGGUAGUGGGGAGAAUAUAGUAUGGAAUGAUUGACUGAGAGUAAUGAUGAAUAGUAGUAGUAGUAGCAGUAGUAGUAACACGGCUAUUAUUAUUAUUGUAUGAGAAAGAAGAAUAAAACUU